CGUUUUAGAAGUUCAGAUGAAAAAAACAGAUUAUGGUUGAAAUUUAAACGUAGUCCCAAAUGAAAACACGGAAACACAUCAACUGUUGUCGGGUGCUAGUGCCGGUGUAUACUGUUUAGCUCCACAUCGGAUUUGCUUGGUACAUCUGCUGGCUGGGAACGAGCAGCGAUCGCAGAACUGGACAAAAGAUAGGAGAGGCCGUAAGCGGAAUCGGAACAAAUGUUAGCAGCUCCGAGGAGAUUCCAACAAUAUUGGAAAAUAUCUCUGCCAAGGAGAAAGCGACGGGCAGCUGACCAGUAGUGUGGGCGAACAAGAGCGAUCCGGAUGUGGGGCGCAAGUUGUUUCCGUAAUACCAAGGUUCUGAGCGACGAAACUAAGCGCCGCGAUUAUCGGCACAGGUGGAAGAGCUAGUGGUUGCCCGGGUCUUUUUCCAUGCAGAAUUGAUCCGGAACAAUUUUUUCAAAUAUUUUUUUUCCGAUUCGGCACCGUUGGAGAUCAGAACGUCAGGAUUCCCAAGCACUCCUCUGCAGACAACGCAAUGACCUUCAAAAAUGUGAAACGGAAUGUAAACAGAACAGUUCCGAUUUUUAUGAUUAUCGAUAAAUAAAGCAGGAUCAGAAACAUGAUUUG